rnacentral:rRNA from 1 species
UACGUAGGGGGCAAGCGUUGUCCGGAAUUACUGGGUGUAAAGGGAGCGCAGGCGGAGAAGCAAGUCAGUGGUGAAAACGAUGGGCUUAACUCAUCGACUGCCAUUGAAACUGUUUCCCUUGAGUGAAGUAGAGGCAGGCGGAAUUCCGAGUGUAGCGGUGAAAUGCGUAGAUAUUCGGAGGAACACCAGUGGCGAAGGCGGCCUGCUGGGCUUUAACUGACGCUGAGGCUCGAAAGUGUGGGGAGCAAACAGGAUUAGAUACCCGGUAGUGCUGACUGACU